CGGGCCGGAGUAUGGCGGUAGUACGCACCCUUCGGGAGGGUGUAGACCGGGUUCGACUCCCGGCGGCCCGA
rnacentral:tRNA from 1 species